rnacentral:rRNA from 1 species
AGCCAAACUCUAGCCCAACCCCCACCAUAACUACUACCAGUCAAAAACCACUACCACCCCAAAACAAACUAAAACAUUCUACGACCCCAGUAUAGGCGAUAGAAAAGACCACCUGGAGCAAUAGAGACCCGUACCGUAAGGGAAAGAUGAAAUAAUAGUGAAAUCCUAAGCAAUAAGCAGCAAAGAUAAACCCUUGUACCUCUUGCAUCAUGAUGUAGCAAGCACAACCAAGCAAAACGGAUUUAAGCUUGCAACCCCGAAACCCAUGCGAGCUACUUACAAGCAGCUAUUAUAUGAGCGAACCCGUCUCUGUCGCAAAAGAGUGGGACGACUUGCUAGUAGAGGUGAAAAGCCUAUCGAGCUGGGUGAUAGCUGGUUGCCUGUGAAAUGAAUCUAAGUUCUCCCUUGAUUAUCCUCUACGGAAAACUCACCCAACCCCCCCUGUAGCUGAUCAAGAGCAAUUUAAAGGAGGUACAGCCCCUUUAACAAAAGGAUACAACCUCCCCUAGCGGAUAACCCACCCACCCCUCCCCAACUGUAGGCCUUAAAGCAGCCAUCAACAAAGAGUGCGUCACAGCUCUAAACAAGCAAAAAUUUCAAAUCAACCCGACUCCCUUACCCAUAACAGGCUAACCUAUGACAAUAGAAGAAUUCAUGCUAGAAUGAGUAACUAGGGACUUAUCCCUCUCAAGCGCAAGCUUACACCACCCAAUCAUUAACAGAGACCCAAAUACUACAAAUCCACCAAGAUAAAUAUUAACCCAUUCUGUUAACCCAACCCAGGCGCGCUUAACUAGAAAGAUUAAAAUUUGCAAAAGGAACUAGGCAAACCCAAGGCCCGACUGUUUACCAAAAACAUAGCCUUCAGCCCACCAAGUAUUGAAGGUGACGCCUGCCCAGUGACAUUACGUUUAACGGCCGCGGUAUCCUAACCGUGCGAAGGUAGCGCAAUCAAUUGUCCCAUAAAUCGGGACCUGUAUGAAUGGCUAAACGAGGUCUUAACUGUCUCUUGCAGAUAAUCAGUGAAAUUGAUCUUCCUGUGCAAAAGCAGGAAUAAGUACACAAGACGAGAAGACCCUGUGGAACUUAAAAAUCCGCAGCCACCCCACACAUAACCCAAGCCCACCAGGCCCACCAAUUUAAAGUACUGGCUCGCAUUUUUUGGUUGGGGCGACCUUGGAGAAAAGCAAAACCUCCAAAAACAAGACCACACCUCUUAACCAAGAAUAACCCCUCACCGUGCUAAUAGCCACCAGACCCAAUAAAAUUGAACAAUGGACCAAGCUACCCCAGGGAUAACAGCGCAAUCCCCUUUAAGAGCCCAUAUCGACAAGGGGGUUUACGACCUCGAUGUUGGAUCAGGACAUCCUAAUGGUGCAGCCGCUAUUAAGGGUUCGUUUGUUCAACGAUUAACAGUCCUACGUGAUCUGAGUUCAGACCGGAGCAAUCCAGGUCGGUUUCUAUCUGUGAAAUACUUUCCCUAGUACGAAAGGACCGGAAAAGUGAGGCCAAUACUCAAAGCAUGCCUCCCCUAUAAGUAAUGAACCCAACUAAACUACCAAAAGGACUACCAACCCACCCGCCCUAGAAAACGGCCG